CAGCAGUCGCCGCGGUAAUACGUAGGGUGCGAGCGUUAAUCGGAAUUACUGGGCGUAAAGCGUGCGCAGGCGGUUUUGUAAGACAGGCGUGAAAUCCCCGGGCUCAACCUGGGAAUGGCGCUUGUGACUGCAAGGCUAGAGUACGGUAGGGGCAGAGGGAAUUUCCGGUGGAGCAGUGAAAUGCGUUGAGAUUGGAAAGAACACCAACGGCGAAAGCACUUUGCUGAGCCGACACUGACAUUGAGAGACGAAAUCUAGGGGAGCAAAUGGGAUUAGAUACCCGUGUAGUCCCUGUCUCUUAUAU
rnacentral:rRNA from 1 species